GAUGGCGACCGGCGCACGGGUGAGUAACACGUAUCCAACCUGCCGAUGACUCGGGGAUAGCCAUUCGAAAGAAAGAUUAAUACCCGAUGGCAUAGUUCUUCCGCAUGGUAGAACUAUUAAAGAAUUUCGGUCAUCGAUGGGGAUGCGUUCCAUUAGGUUGUUGGCGGGGUAACGGCCCACCAAGCCUUCGAUGGAUAGGGGUUCGUGAGAGGAAGGUCCCCCCACAUUGGAACUGAGACACGGUCCAAACUCCUACGGGAGGCAGCAUG
rnacentral:rRNA from 1 species